AAGGCUUUAGCUUAACUAAAGUGUUUGAGUUGCAUUCAGGUGAUGUGGGAUAGAAUCCUGCAAGUCUUA
rnacentral:tRNA from 1 species